CACGUAGGGGGCAAGCGUUGUCCGGAUUUAUUGGGCGUAAAGAGCUCGUAGGCGGCUCGGUAAGUCGGGUGUGAAACCUCCAGGCUCAACCUGGAGACGCCACCUGAUACUGCUGUGGCUAGAGUCCGGUAGGGGAGUGUGGAACUCCUGGUGUAGCGGUGAAAUGCGCAGAUAUCAGGAGGAACACCGGUGGCGAAGGCGGGUCUCUGGGCCGAAAUUGACGCUGAGGAGCGAAAGCGUGGGGAGCAAACAGG
rnacentral:rRNA from 1 species